rnacentral:lncRNA from 1 species
AUUAUUAAAAAUAAAAUAUAUGAUAUAUUUAAAAUUACCAUGCUUUAAAUCAUGAACAAGUUCAAAUAAGCAUUAAAAAACUAUAAUUAUAUAUCAAAAGUCAUUGUUGUCAUAGUGGUUGAGUAGCAUGCAGCGAUCCAAGAGAUCUUGGGUUUGAUCCCUUAUAUAUGUGUGUAUAAAAGAAAUUUCUCUCAUAUUAUAGGAUAUCUGUAAGCUUUCCUAAUAAAUUUGUGAGCAUAUCU